UACGGAGGGUGCAAGCGUUAUCCGGAUUCACUGGGUUUAAAGGGUGCGUAGGUGGGCAGGUAAGUCAGUGGUGAAAUCUUUGGGCUUAACCCGAAACUGCCGUUGAUACUAUCUGUCUUGAAUAUAGUGGAGGUGAGCGGAAUAUGUCAUGUAGCGGUGAAAUGCGUAGAUAUCGUAAGGAAGACCAGUGGCGAAGGCGGGUCUCUGGACAGUUCCUGACACUGAGGCACGAAGGCCAGGGGAGCAAACGGG
rnacentral:rRNA from 1 species